rnacentral:rRNA from 1 species
CCUACGGGUGACAGCAGUAGGGAAUCUUUCACAAUGGGCGAAAGCCUGAUGGAGCAACGCCGCGUGCAGGAUGAAGGCCUUCGGGUUGUAAACUGCUUUUAUAAGCGAGAAAUAUGAUGGUAACUUAUGAAUAAGGAUCGGCUAACUACGUGCCAGCAGCCGCGGUCAUACGUAGGAUCCGAGCAUUAUCCGGAGUGACUGGGUGUAAAGAGUUGCGUAGGUGGCAUAAUAAGUAGCUAGGGAAAUCUGGUGGCUCAACCAUUCAGACUAUUAGCUAAACUGUUAAGCUCGAGACCGUUAGGGGUAACUGGAAUUUCUAGUGUAGGAGUGAAAUCCGUAGAUAUUAGAAGGAACACCAAUAGCGUAGGCAGGUUGCUGGGACGGUUCUGACACUAAGGCACGAAAGCGUAGGGAGCAAACGGGAUUAGAUACCCCUGUAGUC